rnacentral:tRNA from 1 species
GGCACUGUGGUGAAAUUGGUAUACACGACGGAUUCAAAAUCCGUUGCCUUCGGGCGUGGCGGUUCGACUCCGCCCAGUGCUACCA